CAGCCGCCACGGUAAUACGGAGGGUGCAAGCGUUAAUCGGAAUUACUGGGCGUAAAGCGUACGCAGGCGGUUUGUUAAGUCAGAUGUGAAAUCCCCGAGCUUAACUCGGGAACUGCAUUUGAAACUGGCAGGCUAGAGUCUCGUAGAGGGGGGUAGAAUUUCAGGUGUAGCGGUGAAAUGCGUAGAGAUCUGGAGGGAUACCGGUGGCGAAGGCGGCCCCCUGGACAAAGACUGACGCUCAGGUGCGAAAGCGUGGGGAGCAAACAGGAUUAGAGACCCCGGUAGUCCCUGUCUCUUAUAC
rnacentral:rRNA from 1 species